rnacentral:siRNA from 1 species
UGGAUACAUUAGCAUGGGAUAA